rnacentral:lncRNA from 1 species
UGUAAAUAUAUUUUAAAGAGAAAUGUACACUAAAUAGAAAGCGAUGUUAUUUGUAACAAAGUAAAUAUUUGUCAUAAUUUUGAACACUUUAUGCUUAACAUGUUUCACCUGCAAUUAAGUAUUCAAAAUCUCCUUGUCUCCUAUUGUCUCUUACCAUUUGUGUUUCCUAUAUAGAUUCUAAAAUUCAUUUUCUCUAGCAUUGUUCUCUAAACACCCACCUCUAUUCCUGGUUUUCAAUAAAAUAAUUUAACACAAGUAGAUAAAAUUACAACAUGGUCCUCAUUAACUCCUUGUAUCCUGUGGUUAUGUAAAGUAUACUUACUACUGUUAUAUAUUAGAAUCACUGGGUUUGUACAGUAAGUUUGUAGUCCUUUUUUGGUUUGUUUUCUUGAUUAGGUAACAGCAGUUUUCUUUAAUAAGAGAUUAAAUAAACC